GUGUCAGCAGCCGCGGUAAUACGAGGGGGGCAAGUGUUGUUCGGAAUCACUGGGCGUAAAGGGAGCGUAGGCGGAUGUUUAAGUUGGAUGUUUAAAACCGGGGCCUAACCUCGGAGCGGCAUCCAAAACUGGGCAUCUUGAAUAGGUCAGAGGCUGGUGGAAUUGGAGGUGUAGCGGUGGAAUGCGUAGAGAUCUCCAAGAACACCUAUUGCGAAGGCAGCCAGCUGGGACCAUAUUGACGCUGAGGCUCGAAAGCAUGGGGAGCAAACAGGAUUAGAUACCCGUGUAGUCC
rnacentral:rRNA from 1 species